GGAGGAAUACCCAAGUGGCUGAAGGGGCUGGUCUCGAAAACCGGUAGGUCUUAACAGGACGCAGGGGUUCAAAUCCCCUUUCCUCCGCCA
rnacentral:tRNA from 1 species